UUAAUUGAAUUACACGAGAGGGGAAGUAGGGAUGUCUGCGGUCGAAGAUAGAGGUCUAACGUAGAUAUCUUGGUGUAGAGUCGAUAAAAGGGAGAGGUAGAAUAAUGGAAGUUAUCGGAGCUCCCCCGGUUAGGUAACAGAAACGAGGAUACGUCUUGGGAGAAUAGCCACGAUUUAAUUACCGGGGGAAAAUUUUCUCUUUUUUCAUUUUUCGGACGAGGAAAAAAAAUUGGAAUUACAAUUUUUUCGAAAUGUAAUUUAAAUAAUUUACCCGAUACGAUCAAAUAUAUCGUAAUUCGUGUUGGUUAUAUUGACCGUUUAAAUAACAAAACGGUUAAAUAACGGAAAUAAACGCAUUAUGAUAUUUAAUUAAACGUUCCCGCCGAGUUUUGUUGUCACGAGUAAUUACGGUAUAUUGAAAUUAGACGAAACAAGUUACGGAGGUAGGUUGAAACUCGAUUGCUUGGAGGAAAGACAAACAAAAAGUUGUGAAACUGGAUGGAAUUUCUGAUUCGAUAAAUUAUACGCUCUAUUAAUCUCAUUCUUCGCGCGAUGUUAAACCCGUGUUUCGAGCACGAUCCGUUUCAAACAAAUUGUUUAUUUUUAUUGGCGCAAAAAAAUUCUCGAGUCCAAUUUAAACCAUUUUUCGCCAAUAAGAUAUUUACCAGAAAAAUUUCAUACAAAAGGUGAUAUAUAUAUUAACAAUCCCUCUCUUUCCCCCCCUCCCUGUUUAUAAACUGCGCGCAGCUGCUCGUGUCGCGCGCGAUGAAGGAAUUUCGCGAUAGAACUCGCAGGAUGGGACAAGUUGCGUCGGAUCAUGGUCGAAAACGAAGAGGGAAUAAACGGAGCGGUUAUUGGAGGCAGUUUCGAAAACGCCCACACACACGCUCCUCCACCCUCACCGAAGGGUGAGUAAAAGCUGAAUGGGGGGAGGAGAAAGAACGGCUGACAAGAAUCGAAACGAUCUAAUAAUCGAAAGAAAUUCGAACCUCCUUUUACGAUGAUGUAAGAAAGAGGGCGCCAUUUUACGUUUACGGUGGAUCCCGUUCGUAAACUCGAAGGAUUUUUACGCAACGGUAUUUUCCCCGUACGUUGGUAGUGUAUAUCUUUGAAGAUUUUUUCGAUCAUCUGAUUCUGGAGUGUUUAAAACGAUGGACGAAUAUAUUUUUCUGUUUCUUACACGUCUGAUCGAUUCAGAACGGUGCUGGAAAAGAGGAAAGGAAAGAGAAAUAUGCAAGAAAUUUAUCAACCUUCGAAACAUUCUUCCUCCAACUUGGAACCGGUGGUUCAGCUCGAUAGAAGAGAAAACGACACGUUUCUGAAGGAGAAAGGCGAAGAAGAAUCCGAAACGAAACGGAAGACUUUACACACUGCCGAAUCACAUAUUUCCAAUUCAAUCUGCCUUCCCUCGCCUCUUCUCACGGGGCGAUCGAACGAAAAACCAUUCUUCUCUCCGGACACCGAGAAGAGGAGAGGAAAGAAGAGGAGGAAGAAGAAUCGCGAUGCAGGAGAGAAGGGCACUGUCGGGGAGGAGAGGCCACGAAAUAUUACCCAGUCCGCAGAUUCGGGGUGCAGUCGUCCAUCGAUAAUCGCGGCGGAUAUGUCGUAGAUCUUGCCGAUAGUAUUUACGAUCCGCAUCCACGAUUCUCUGUAAUCUUGGAGGCGUGCGCCGAUGAAAGAUAUCCAAGUGUCGCGCGAGAUAUACCAACUUUCGAUUCACUCCAGAACUUCUUUCUCGAAAUAUCCAUCCACACUUUAAUUGUUCGACUCUAGAAGCCGAUUAAAGAAAGCGAUCUUGAAUUAAAUAUUAUAAAAUAAACGCGAUAAGUUGUGUGGCUCGAAACAAUAGAGAAUGUCAAUGAUAAAGAUGUAAAAUAUCUUGGCUGAGGAGUACGUUAAAUUAUCCUGUUAACACGAGUCGAAACAUAAAUUUGUUAAUUUCAAACUGCUGAUUAAUUUCGCAGUGCACGCUAUAACAUUUUUGAAACUGCGAGACACAAUAGAAAUUGUUGGCUAACUGGCAGGAAAUAUAUGUACAUAUAUAUAUAUAGGAAAUAUUAAUUGGAUAAUCGACCCAUAUACAGGAGAAACACGCGGCAUAAUUAUUCAAAUGCAAAUGCGCCGCGAGCAUAGCGCCGCCAGUCCAAGUUGUAAAUGAAUAACAAAUACGGAACACGAUUCACGUUGCACGACAUAAUCACCCGUUUCCGCUAAUCCUGCUCGACUACACGACUAAUUUGCAACCCCAUCUUUUUCCAAACACGCUUCUUUUUUCUUUCAAUCUGUCGUGUUUUAGAGAACGCACGAGAAGAGUCGUUACAAAAUUUUCCUUCGAUUCCCCGUAAACGUUCAUCAAGAGCAAGCCACGCAACAGCGUAAAGGAAUUCGGGAGGAAAGAUUUUCGACGAUAGAUCCUCGAGAGCGGUCGGUGAAUAUUUAUCGAGAGCACUCGAGGAUGUCCGAGCGGGCAUCAAGGAGGAGGGGGAGGUUGUUGGAGGAGCGGCGCAUAAUCCAAAAUCUCGGAGAAGAAUAGGGGUGGAUCGAGUUCGAGCGAUCCCUCUUCGUGGAACGAAUCUGGGAGAAUCGGAGGACGACCGAUAAUUGGGAUCUAGGUGACUUUCUCCCGUUCACAUUAUCGAUUCGAGGGGUUCGAAUCCUCCUGCCUUUCCGCGAAUCUUUAUUUCGACGAAAUUAAUAAUGCGUAUUUUAUCUUACGUGUGUAUAUAGUUGGUCUUUCUGCAAGCGGAAUGAAUGGAAUGAGUCGAAAAAAAUUAUUAGAACAACUGUGCCAAGACGUAUUAUCUCAAAGAAUGAAGAGUGGAAUUGCUGAUAAACUAUCAUCGAAGAAAACGCGCUCUUUCUUAACCGACUUUUUGCUAAAAAAAUUCUGAUUCUUCCUUCACGAGAUCGUUUAUUCGUGAAUUCGUUCCACUGGCAAGGAGUACGAGUCCGUGUAUGGAGUUAUUGAUAAUCAAGAAACGAAGGAAAGAAUUUGUUAUUUCUUUUCGUGCAACGUUAAAUUUAUUCUUAUCUGAAUAUAUUUAAACUUCGCACAAAGAUCUUCCAUCACGUAGAAACACGAAUGAUCGUCCUGACCAACCCCUUCGCAGCAACGAUUUUACGCGAUAAAUUUUCGUUGCCAUACCCGUUGCAAGACAGAUCUAUUUAUAACCGUGGAUAGCUCCAAGAAACAGAUCGAAAGAAAAAGAGAGAGAGAGAGUUUACUUCCAACUCCUCGAACGAACUUUCCCCCGUCUGGGGUGGCUGGAAGUGAGAGAGAGAUCGAAUGCUUAGAAACUCUCGAGUGGGAACUUUCGAAGGGAUAAAAGAACUUUCCAUUCUGGUAAACGCUUUUAAUGAGAAAAUAUGAUGCACCGAACCCUCCCCCCUCCCAAUUAGAGGAGAAUGGCUUAUCCCCCUCCUCAGAAAUUCACCCUAUUCUCCAAAUCUUUCUCUCUCUCUCGCUUCCUCCCCUUCCUUUCUAUUAUCACGCUGCGAGGAGGAAGCAAGGCCGGGUAUUUUGAUGAAAAUCGUAAUGCAAUAGGCAUGUAAUACAAAAGGGGACGGCCCUAUCCCUCGAUAAGGCGAUCGACCCUUCUUAUUCGUGUUCAUAACUAGGUACUGGAAACCGAUAAGGUGGGAGGAGCGGUGGCUCGGUGACCCGGAGGGGUCUUUGGUUCCCCUUCCCUUCGCUCUCCAACGUUAUGUUAACGUUGGAGGACGAGUUAAUCCCCAGAUUUGGAAAUUGAUUUUCAAAGGGGGAAAAAAGGAGGCUCUCGAAAAAGCAUUAACGAGGAGGCUGGUGGCGUGGCCGAGAUUCCGAGGGAGGGGGUAUAUAUCCAGUGGACGAAUUGGAUGCUCGAGAUGCCUUCGAGUGUCUGGGGAGUUCUUUGAUCGGAGUGGAUUUGGCGCGGAUAGAGCGGCGGAACAACAGUCGAGUGGGGCCGAGAGAUUGAACGAGGAAAGAAUGAACGAGGCUUCGAAAGAAAAGUUAAAUCGAAAUUAAAAUUCAUCGAAGGAUUAGAAGAGAAAGAAAGAUCAAACGCAUUUCGAUCUCGUCCACCGGAAGCGUCGUGUGCCAGGUUUCGAGCAAACAUCGUCCCUGUCAGGGGAGAUGGUGAGAACCACUGGCCACCGCCGGGUUACCGGAAGUGGAGAGGCAACGGGGAGAGAAACGGCCCCUCGAUCGACGUCUAUAAAUCAGCGAGGACACGCCAAGACUUUCUCUCUCUCUUUCUCGCUCCCUCGCCGGGGUUAUCGAGCGGUGGGUAAAGAAGAAAACUGAACUAUCCCCACUCCGAAGGAUGCAUACACUACGCGACGAACAUUCCGUUUUCUCGAAUUUACGACAAGAAUGCUUAACGUUUCCCGUUGUUCGCGACAUCGUUAUCGCGUGCAACUCUCGUCCGUGAAAGGAGAAACAGACAUCUCGAUACACCUGGGCGAAAUUCAGAGCGAGAAGAUUUAAAUAUUCGCCCGAUCGGGAAUUUUCGGGGGAACGAAAAGUGUUUCUCUUCCAUGGUUUCAAGUUGUACGCAUGUACGAUUUUUUUUUUCCAAUUAAAAUCGAUUACCUCGAA